GAUGGUUCUUAGGUUCACCUUGCUGAUGGGUUUCAGGUUCUCUAAAACCUUACAAUUUCUGGUCUCCAAGAAGGGGGUGAUAUCAUUGGAUCCGUGGAGAGUAUUAGAGUAGUAGUUCUGGUGCAUCUAAUGUGGGACACCAGCCUGUCCAGAAAUUUUACAUGAUUGUAGUUGUUGUAGAUUCAUCAAAUCCAAGCUCUGGCACACUUUAUUAUUGGACAGGAAGAACAUACACACUGCCGGUUCAAAGUAUUCAAACAAAUUAGUUCACCUGGUAUUCAACAAUCCGAGGGAGCAGCCUUUUACCAUUGAGUAGAUAAAUGAAGUUCGAGAAAAGUUGGCAAAUUUCAUUACCAUUUAUCGUCUUUGAUAUUUUCUUGUAGUGAAUCUUAGAUUAUGGAUGCUAGUUUUUCAUAGGAUUGUAAUGUAAUCAAUUUUUAUAUUUAUAAUUAUAUACUAUU